rnacentral:rRNA from 1 species
CUGGCGAGAAAAGCUUGUAGAUAUUGUAUAGAGGUGCCCGUACCGCAAACCGACACAGGUAGAUGAGGAGAGGAUCCUAAGAUGAGCGAGAGAAGCAUUGUUAAGGAACUCGGCAAACUGACCCCGUAACUUAGGGAGAAGGGGUACUGGGAUAAAACCCAGUCGCAGAGAAUAGUCCCAAGCAACUGUUUAACAAAAACACAGGUUUCUGCUAAAUCGAAAGAUGAAGUAUAGGAGCUGACACCUGCCCAGUGCUGGAAGGUUAAGGGGAAAUGUCAAGAGUAAUCUGAAGCAUAGAACCAAAGCCCCAGUGAACGGCGGCCGUAACAAUAACGGUCCUAAGGUAGCGAAAUUCCUUGUCAGGUAAGUUCUGACCCGCACGAAAGGUGUAAUGAUUUGGGAGCUGUCUCGACAAUGUACUCGGCGAAAUUGUAGUACUAGUGAAGAUGCUAGUUACCUGCGACAAGACAGAAAGACCCCAUGGAGCUUUACUGUAGUUUGAUACUGGGUUUUGAUUAUUUAUGUACAGGAUAGGUGGGAGACGAUGAAGCAUUGGCGCCAGUCGAUGUGGAGUCACCCUUGGGAUACCACCCUUAAAUGAUUGAAAUUCUAACCAAUAGUCAUAAACUGGCUAGGGGACAAUGUCAGACGGGCAGUUUGACUGGGGCGGUCGCCUCCAAAAGAGUAACGGAGGCGCGCAAAGGUUUCCUCAGCGCGGACAGAAAUCGCGCAAAAGAGUGCAAAGGCAGAAGGAAGCUUAACUGAGAGACUGACAAGUCGACCAGAUACGAAAGUAGGUCUUAGUGGUCCAGUGGUUGUAAGUGGAAAUGCCAUCGCUCAGCGGACAAAAGUUACCCUGGGGAUAACAGGCUUAUCUCCCCCAAGAGUUCACAUCGACGGGGAGGUUUGGCACCUCGAUGUCGGCUCAUCACAUCCUGGAGCGGAGGUACGUUCCAAGGGUUGGGCUGUUCGCCCAUUAAAGUGGUACGCGAGCUGGGUUCAGAACGUCGUGAGACAGUUCGGUCCUUAUCUGUCGCAGGCGGAGGAUAUUUGAGGGGAGUUGGCCCUAGUACGAGAGGACCAGGCUGAACUUACCAAUGGUGCACCAGUUGUCAUACCAAUGGCAUAGCUGGGUAGCUAAGUAGGGAAGGGAUAAACGCUGAAAGCAUCUAAGUGUGAAGCCCACCCCAAGAUAAGAUAUCCCAUACCGUAAGGUAGUAAGAUUCCACGUAGACUAUGUGGUAGAUAGGUUGGAGGUGUAAGUAUAGUGAUAUAUUAAGCUGACCAAUACUAAUAAAUCGAGGGCUUAACU